UGCUGAACUUGGAAUGUUGGCUCUAAAUGACCAUAACGGACGAAAUGUGUUUUUGUGAAUAUUCUGCACAAAUCCCUUUGUCCCACGCUCUGCUAUGUUAUUCUUCUAUUUUUGCAUGUAUAAUUUUGGCUUUGUGUUUCAUUUACUACUAAUUUUAUACGUCAUCUUCUGGUUCCUGAAAUAGGUUACCUAGUAAUGACGUAAGGUGAGGCCAGAGGAAGUCUGAGAACGUGGUUCUGUAGCCAUCACAUCGCCCAGUCUAAGCUGAUGAGUUCUGUUUGUACUGGUGGCAGACCGCAAAAUAAAUUAACUGAAUUUAAUAGAACAUAAUCCUGCCACUCUUCAGCAUCAUCUUUUGUACAAGCUAAAGCACAGGGAGGGACAAAGUCCAUUAAGUAAGGAUGUCACUAGCAGUUUUCAGUGCUCCCACCAGCCCUAUCACUGCAGCAUGAAAAUAGAGAGGAGGGGUUAGCAGCCUGCAGUGAUUGGAUGAAGAGACCCAUCACAGCACAGCAGACUAAGGGAGGAACAAAAGUUAUGCAGAGUGAGGGACACGUCCUCUCCAAAGCACAGAAUGAAAAAUCAAGAGAGCAACAGAUAGAAGGUAUCAUUGCCACUCUUACCCCAAAACAGAUUUUCCCGUUUCAUCUGGUUUCCUUACUGUAAAUGGGCUUGGAUCAAUGCCAACAUUUUUUGGCAUGAAGUCUCUGCAAAUUAAAAAUAACAUAUCAG